UAACGAAACGCAGGUUCGAACCCGGGACGUUUAGAUCUUCAAUCUAACGCUUUCACAACUGAUCUAUUCCACC